GCCCCUGUGGCGGAACAGGUAGACGCGGCAGACUCAAAAUCUGUUGCCCGCGAGGGCGUGCCGGUUCGACUCCGGCCAGGGGCACCA
rnacentral:tRNA from 1 species